UACGGGGGGGGCAAGCGUUGUUCGGAAUUACUGGGCGUAAAGCGCGCGCAGGCGGCCUUUUAAGUCUACCCGUGAAAUGCCGGAGCUCAACUCCGUGCACGCCGGGGGAUACUGGGAAGCUGGAGACAGGUAGAGGCAAGCGGAAUUCCGGGUGUAGCGGUGGAAUGCGUAGAUAUCCGGAAGAACACCUGAGGCGAAGGCGGCUUGCUGGGCCUGAUCUGACGCUGAGGCGCGAAAGCGUGGGGAGCAAACAGG
rnacentral:rRNA from 1 species